CCCGAGCCCUCAGUGGGAACUUGUUCCGGUGCUAUUCCAGUUUGUGGAAGCUUCGUUCUUUUGCUCUUUGCAAGAAAUCUUGCUACUGCUCACUCUUUGGGUCCAUGCUGCCUUUAUGAGCUGUAACACUCACCGUGGAGGUCUGCACCUUCACUCCUGAGCCAGCGGGACCACGAACCCACCAGAAGGAAGAAACUCCCAACAUCAAAACGAACAAACUCUGGACAGGCCACCUUUAAGAACCGUAACACUCAGGCGAGGUUUUGCAGUCUCAUUCUUGGAGUCAGUGAAACCAAGAACCCACCAAUUCCGGACACGAGUGCAGAGUUGAUGUGAGAAGAAGCUAAUAUGGUAUGAAAUGCACCCAUCUCGGUUUUUGACCUAUAGUAUUAAAUGCACCCAUCUCAGUUUUUGACAUAUGGCACCAGGAUUACAAAGCUUAACAAGUCAUGAUUUAGAUUCAGAAGUUACAAAGAGUGGAAAAGGUCAUAUUCUUUCUUAUGAGGAGACAAGAACUCAGGUUGCUGCAGAUCCAUAUGGAGGAUAUGCCUCUGGUUACAUAUUUUGGUGCCAGGUGAGCAUGUCCUACUCCGGUGGAUUUUUUUUUUUCAUCUCUGAGCUUGACCUGAGAUUGACCAUCUGACCUGAGCUAUAAUUUUGACAUAAAUUUUGACUAAAAGGUCAUUAUGUGCCAGCAAAGGACAUUAGAUAAUUGAAGGAAGACAUCCCUAUAUGACAGUGUAUUUACUUGGGUACUGAUGGGAAAAAGUGGAGUGUUCAGUUGAAGAAACAUCAAAUAAUCAACUUGGAAACAUGGAUUC
rnacentral:lncRNA from 10 species